GACCAGACUCCUACGGGAGGCAGCAGUGGGGGAUAUUGCACAAUGGGGGGAAACCCUGAUGCAGCGACGCCGCGUGAGCGAUGAAGUCUUUCGGUAUGUAAAGCUCUAUCAGCAGGGAAGAAAAUGACGGUACCUGACUAAGAAGCCCCGGCUAACUACGUGCCAGCAGCCGCGGUAAUACGUAGGGGGCAAGCGUUAUCCGGAUUUACUGGGUGUAAAGGGAGCGUAGACGGCAAUGCAAGCCAGAUGUGAAAGCCCGGGGCUCAACCCCGGGACUGCAUUUGGAACUGUGUAGCUGGAGUGUCGGAGAGGCAGGCGGAAUUCCUAGUGUAGCGGUGAAAUGCGUAGAUAUUAGGAGGAACACCAGUGGCGAAGGCGGCCUGCUGGACGAUGACUGACGUUGAGGCUCGAAAGCGUGGGGAGCAAACAGGAUUAGAUACCCCAGUAAG
rnacentral:rRNA from 1 species